ACCGGCCCUCCUGGUAGCAGCUGAGGGGCGGUGGGCCCCGGCUCCGCGCCAGUCAGCGCUCCAUGGGCUCGGGGAACACUGCAGCUGCUCGGCCUCUGGGGAACAACAGAUCCACCUACGGGUUCUUCUUCCAGUAGUGCCGCACUUUGUUGUUUGCCUAAAUGUCUCUGUUCCUUCGCUGUAAAGAGGCGCUGCUCCUGUGUACCAGAGGCGGAAGGGGGGCUGUGCGGCAGGAGCAGCCCCCAGGCAGCUGGAGCUGCAUUUUGCAAGUCGUCCCCCGCGGUUUACAGGCACCACAAAGUCUAAAUUUGGCUUCUUAAAAAGUGGACUGCAUAACAAACCAGCCAUUUCUCCCUCCCUCGAAGUCUGAGGAGUUUAGAGAUUAUAUUUUUAAUAUAACCAGAAAAUAGGGUUUGCUGGAGGCUUCGCUUUUGCCCAAUGUCGUUAUGAAAAUUUCGUACCUCUGUUCCCCCCCCAUCGUGUAUAGCGACGCAGUGACAUGCUUUAGCUAUUUGAAAUAUUUUGUCUGUUAAUUGAUUCUGUUUCAAAAUUGUGUUCCAAGCAUAAGGAGUGAAACUGGUUCCCAGUUUCUCCAGCAGCAUGUCUAUUUCCUACAGUUACUUUGCAGCACGUGUGCACACUUCUAACAACAGCUGUGCUUGCAUGUUUGAGUUCUGUCCUCAUUGGGUUCAGUUUUUACAGAACAUAGUGUGUGCCCUCAAUAUGGGUACGUCCCAGGAGAGUACAAGAACUGCCCAUAAUACUGUGGUCGGUGUGGCUGGUACACAUCUCAUUUGUGUGCAAUUGGGGCAGUACCAGCAAGGCUGCAAAAGAGCUGAGAAGGGCUCGUGAAUCCCAUAGGCAAGGAUAUGGGCUUCCUGAAGGGACUUAUGCCUUUGCUGAUGCUCCUCUUCUAAUUCCUGGAUCUCCUGAGUCAGCCUCUGUCGCUCCUGACU